GGACCAUCAUGUCGGUCGUGCCUCGGUACGUACUGGUAUUGUUGGUUUCUCCCUUCUGACGAACCAUGAUGUCAUUUAUUUGGUGUUGUGGGAAAUCAGGACUGUUACUUUGAAAAAUUAGAGUGUUUAAAGCAAGCUAACGCUUGAAUACAUUAGCAUGGAAUAAUGAAAUAGGACGUUUGACCCUAUUUUGUUGGUUUCUAGAGUCGCCGUA
rnacentral:rRNA from 1 species